GAACGCACAUUGCGCCCCUUGGUAUUCCAUGGGGCAUGCCUGUUCGAGCGUCAUUUACACCCCCAAGCUCUGCUUGGUGUUGGGCGUCUGUCCCGCUUCGUGCGCGGACUCGCCCCAAAGGUAUUGGCAGCGGUCUUGCCAGCUUCUCGCGCAGCACAUUGCGUUUCUCGAAGCUCCGGCGGAUCGGCGUCCAUCAAGCCCACAUCACAGUUUGACCUCGGAUCAGGUAGGGAUACCCGCUGAACUUA
rnacentral:misc_RNA from 1 species